GACGAGGGAUCCUAGCGUUGUUCGGCAUUAUUGGGCGUACAGCGGGUGUAGGUGGACUUAUAAGUCAGGUGUGAAAUCCCAGGGCUCAACCCUGGAAGUGCACUUGAUACUGCAAGUCUUGAGUGUGGUAGAGGCUAUUAGAAUUCUUGGUGUAGUGGUGAAAUACGUAGAUAUCAAGAGGAAUACCGGAGGCGAAGGCGGAUAGCUGGGCCAACACUGACACUGAGACCCGAAAGCGUGGGGAUCAAACAGG
rnacentral:rRNA from 1 species